rnacentral:lncRNA from 7 species
GUCGUUCCAGCCCGGGAAACACGCCCGGUCGACCGGGGGUGGAAAAUAUCCCAGCCUGGACUGCACGCGAACGCGAAGGGCACGCGACUUCUCGUCGGUGUCGAUCUGCUCCGGCGACCGCUUGUCAUCGGUAUGUUUCUUCCUCCCUGGGCUUUCCCUUCCCACCAUCUCAGCGGACGGCUUGAAGUUUCCUCUAAGUGGUGGGCGCUCGCUACCCGCAGCUCCCAUGGUCUGCUUGAAGUUUCCUCGCCCUAAACCCUAACCCUAAAUGUGGCUCCCAUGUCUGCUUGAUCUCCUUUUAGCUGCUGUAGUGAUGGCGCCAUGGCCAUGGUCUGCUUAGUUUCCUCGCCCUAUCCAACACGAAAGCUGCCGCCGAAGCACGGUCGGUCACGUCGUUCCUGCUGACAUGGUCUUCUUGAGUUUGGGGACAAAGAAACAAGAAGAAUUAGACUAGAAGGUUCAGACUUUAGCCUCUCCUACACCGGUGGUCAUGGAAACAGAUGGUUUGACUACCUGACAGUUAGCUGCCCUAGCGUUCUGAAAGAACUGUUCUCCAAAUUUGUUCCCAGUUGAACUGAAAAGAGGCGGCUUGUAACAGCAAAUCUUCCCAAAGUACUAACUAUAUUUAGUUUUAAUAUAGUCAAGCCAAGAGGAUGCAUGAUACCCCAGCCGUUGUAUCCUUAAUAUAUGUAGGGCUAUUUUGACGGCUAGCUGCGAAGAAGCUUGUAUCAGUGAGUUUAGUUGUGUGCACUGAACUGAAACUGCUAAUAGAUUGCUUGCUGCAUGUCCCAUAAAGUUCUAGCGAGCAUUGCAUGGAUAUAGAAUAAUCUGUGGGGCUAGAAUGUGUGUGUGUUUUGGCCUUUGAGGGGCGAGCAAGUAGGAUUGGGCACUUUUUUUUUGUUUUUAAUAUUCAGUUUUGGUUUCCAAUAUUUGUCUGUAUCGGUACUCAGUUGCAGUUUCAGUUUUAGAUGGAAACCGAACCAAACACUGGUUCAAACCCAAACACGAAGCAUUAGAUAAGAAUGCGGCAAUUAGCAACUGAAAAGGACAUAUAAUCAGUUGAUUUGUCGUGCUUUGCCAGUGUAAAAACUGUUUGGUGUUUAGUUCAGAGUACAUAUUUUUUACUUGUAAUUGUCUAGACGUAUUUCUAACAAAAACCUAUUAUAUUUCUAGAUUAUCCCUACAUCGGUUUGACUUGGAGAAGACGAGCUUCCACCAUCUUGGGACCCUAUACCCUCUCCUUUAGGUACUUGUUAAAUCCUAAAUGUUCUUAUUACAUCAUUUUCUGCUUCUGUUGGUGUUUAUUUCUUUUUCGUUAGCAAUGGAUGUGGCACUAAGCCUCUUAGAAAGAGGAUGAUGAUGAGGAUGAUGAUGAAUUCCAUGACCUGCUCUUAAUUGGUGUGUCCAGUUGCUACUUGGGUUCUUAAAUGACCUGCUCUUGUCAUUAGCUGUAAACUGUGAUUGGUCAAAACUACUAGUUAUAUGCACAGAAUACUCCGGAGAGCAUAUAUAUUUGUUACUCAUUGAUCAUCUGCUCGUCUUGCUUUGAAGAAGAGCAUAUAUAUUGUUGCUACAGUAGGUUCUAGCUUUGACUUGUAGGUGUCAACUGUGAACUGUCAUUAGGAAGUAUGCCUCAACUCUAGUGCUUAUAUUUGAAACAGAAAAUAUAAAGUAUUAUAUUUGUAGAUGUAUUUUUUUAACAAAAACCUAUUAUAUUUCUAGAUUAUUCCUGCACCGGUUCGAGUUGGAGAAGACGAACUUCCACCGUCUUGGGAUCCAAUAUCCUCUCCUUUAGGCACAUGUUAUAUCCUAAAUGUUUUUAUUACAUCCUUUUUCGCUUAAGUUGGUGUUUAUUUUCUAAAUGAAUUUCUUUUUAGUUAGCAAUGGAUGUGGCAUUAAGUGAUUACCUUAGGAAGAGGAGAGAUGAGGAUGAUGAUGAUAUGAUGAUGUUUUUUUACUUAUGCUACAUAUGUUAAAUAUGAGGAACCUGUUGCAAAUUCGUUCCUUGUAACUUGCUUUGGCUCUUAUUUUUUAGUUUGAUCAUGACCAUGCCAAUGAAAAAAAUCACUUCCAUUAAAACAUGCUUUUUGUUCUUUAAGUGUGCAAAGUUACUCCAUUUAUGCCUUGUCUUCGUGGUCUAACUUGCUCUUAUAUUUGGUGUUUAUGACAGAGAGCUGCACCUGAAGAAACCAAUGAACAUUAGGUAUUACAAAUAAGGGCUGUAUUGUAUUAAUGUGGUUCUUGUAAACUAAUUUUUCCUUUGAAUUUUGUAAUUGAAUCAUCCACAGGUGUGCGACUUGCUUUUGUUUAUGUGGAUCUAUUAAUUAUGUUCAAACAGUUGCUUCAUAAUU